rnacentral:tRNA from 1 species
UACCUAAUUAGUUUAUAAAAAAUAUUGAAUUGUGGUUUCGGAGAUGAAUAUUCAUUAGGUAA